CAUGCAUUUGGUAAAAAGUCAAAACACUUGAGACCCUUGACAGUUGACUAACUUCUCUUAGUGACAAUGGCAGAUAAAGCUAUGUUAGGAGGAUGGGGCGAGACAGUGGACGCUACUGAGGAAACUCAGAAGAUUUGUGAUGCGGUGAAGGGUCAAGUGGAGAAAGAAACCGGCAAAAAGUAUGCGGUGUACAAGGCAGUGCAUUUCAAGAAACAACUUGUGGAAGGACAAAACCUCAGCAUAAAGGUCUUUGUUGGAGAGGAGGACUACAUUCAUCAGAGGGUUGUCUGUCCACUUCCUGGUAAAGGAGGAAAGGUUCAGCUGGACCACGUUGAAGUGGGAAAAACCAAAGACGACAUCGUCUGCAUGUGUUAACGUUGACAUGACCUUUUCAACAGUGUAAUACUUAAAGGCAGCAGUCUGAUAUUAAAAUGCUCUUCUUCUUUAUCCUGAAAUGAUUAAACAAUGAUUUUGAAUCUGUCACACAGAGAUACAGAUAUUUGGUGUUGGGUAGCAGCAAGUUGAACGCAUUCCUUUUAAAUAAAUAAUAAAGAAAGCAUUACAAAUCUCAAAA